CACGUAGGCACCAAGCGUUGUCCGGAUUUAUUGGGCGUAAAGAGCUCGUAGGCGGUCUGUCGCGUCUGCUGUGAAAACUCAGGGCUUAACCCUGAGCUUGCAGUGGGUACGGGCAGACUAGAGUGCGGUAGGGGAGACUGGAAUUCCUGGUGGAGCGGUGAAAUGCGCAGAUAUCAGGAGGAACACCGGUGGCGAAGGCGGGUCUCUGGGCCGUAACUGACGCUGAGGAGCGAAAGCAUGGGGAGCGAACAGG
rnacentral:rRNA from 1 species